GAUGAACGCUGGCGGCGUGCCUAAUACAUGCAAGUCGAGCGAACGGACGAGAAGCUUGCUUCUCUGAUGUUAGCGGCGGACGGGUGAGUAACACGUGGAUAACCUACCUAUAAGACUGGGAUAACUUCGGGAAACCGGAGCUAAUACCGGAUGAUAUUUUGAACCGCAUGGUUCAAAAGUGAAAGACGGUCUUGCUGUCUCUUAUAGAUGGAUCCGCGCUGCAUUAGCUAGUUGGUAAGGUAACGGCUUACCAAGGCAACGAUGCAUAGCCGACCUGAGAGGGUGAUCGGCCACACUGGAACUGAGACACGGUCCAGACUCCUACGGGAGGCAGCAGUAGGGAAUCUUCCGCAAUGGGCGAAAGCCUGACGGAGCAACGCCGCGUGAGUGAUGAAGGUCUUCGGAUCGUAAAACUCUGUUAUUAGGGAAGAACAUAUGUGUAAGUAACUGUGCACAUCUUGACGGUACCUAAUCAGAAAGCCACGGCUAACUACGUG
rnacentral:rRNA from 1 species